AGGGCAGUACCCCCAUACAUGCCCUCUUGCCUGCCACCAUGUAAGACGUGCAUGUGGGCCUAUGUCACCAGAUUUCCACCACACCCACCUCCCCAUUGUCCCGUAACACUUGGCCACUGUCUCAUCUUUCCCAGUUCUCCCAUCCUGGUUGGCUCAGUAGAUUAGUUGAUUCUCUUUUCAGGUGCCGUCUUUGAAUUUUCCACACUCUUGGCGCAUGCGCCUCAGCUCCUUGGAUAUCACCCUGACAUUGAGCCCCUGGUGCUGUGCUUGGGACUGAGGGUAAAUGACACAGUCAGUGUCCCCAACCCCACCGCAUGGCAAAACAAAUGCUGACACUUCUAAUUGCCUUUUGUCAGCCGGGGAAGUGUUGAAUAUUACCAGGAUUUCAGGCAAAAUGACUGGGUAAGAGAUGACUUGAUACCUGACUUAAAAGAGGACACCCUGAUGGGCAGA
rnacentral:lncRNA from 1 species